rnacentral:tRNA from 1 species
GAAAAAUUUAGUUAAACUAUAACAUUAGCCUGUCAAGCUAAAAUUAUUCCAAAAAAUAAUUUUU